rnacentral:misc_RNA from 1 species
CAAAAUUAUUAAAUCCUAAGAGAAAUAGAAAGGAUGAAGUAUUGGCACAUUCAAGAACAAUGAGAGAAAGGGUAAUAACAAGAUUUAGAAUUAGUGCAGCAUGAUGUGUUUUACAUUUAAUUUUUUUUUAUGCGAUCUGUUGGAUUUUAUUUUAGUUUAGUUUAGCUAGGUAGAUUAUUAAUUACACAAAAUUAAGAAAAAGAUAUAUGAAGUAUACAUAUGUAUGAUACUAUUGGAAUUCAUUGGUGUGCUUGUCAAAAAAGAAAAAAG